rnacentral:rRNA from 1 species
UGGGGAAUAUUGCACAAUGGGCGCAAGCCUGAUGCAGCCAUGCCGCGUGAGUGAAGAAGGCCUUCGGGUUGUAAAGCACUUUCAGCGGGGAGGAAGGCGUUAAGGUUAAUAACCUUGGCGAUUGACGUUACCCGCAGAAGAAGCACCGGCUAACUCCGUGCCAGCAGCCGCGGUAAUACGGAGGGUGCAAGCGUUAAUCGGAAUUACUGGGCGUAAAGCGCACGCAGGCGGUUUGUCAAGUCGGAUGUGAAAUCCCCGGGCUCAACCUGGGAACUGCAUUCGAAACUGGCAAGCUAGAGUCUUGUAGAGGGGGGUAGAAUUCCAGGUGUAGAGGUGAAAUGCGUAGAGAUCUGGAAGAAUACCGGUGGCGAAGGCGGCCCCCUGGACCAAGACUGACGCUGAGGUGCGAAAGCGUGGGGAGCAAACAGG